UUAUGUAAGUGUGGUAGGUAGAGUUGAGUGUGUUAGGUGAGAGUUGAGUGUGGUAGGUAGAUGUAAGUGUGUUAGGUGAGAGUUGAGUGUGGUUGGUAAAUAUGUUUUUCUCUUCUAUAUAUAGGAGAGUCAUUGUAUACAA